rnacentral:rRNA from 1 species
GAUGAACGCUGGCGGCGUGCCUAAUACAUGCAAGUCGAGCGAACAGAUGAGGAGCUUGCUCCUCUGACGUUAGCGGCGGACGGGUGAGUAACACGUGGAUAACCUACCUAUAAGACUGGGAUAACUUCGGGAAACCGGAGCUAAUACCGGAUAAUAUAUUGAACCGCAUGGUUCAAUAGUGAAAGACGGUUUUGCUGUCACUUAUAGAUGGAUCCGCGCCGCAUUAGCUAGUUGGUAAGGUAACGGCUUACCAAGGCAACGAUGCGUAGCCGACCUGAGAGGGUGAUCGGCCACACUGGAACUGAGACACGGUCCAGACUCCUACGGGACGCAGCAGUAGGGAAUCUUCCGCAAUGGGCGAAAGCCUGACGGAGCAACGCCGCGUGAGUGAUGAAGGUCUUCGGAUCGUAAAGCUCUGUUAUUGGGGAAGAACAAAUGUGUAAGUAACUAUGCCCGUCUUGACGGUACCUAAUCAGAAAGCCACGGCUAACUACGUG